AAAAGGUUAAUAAGUGACACCUCAGAAGCUUGUGUAGUGUCAAGGAGGCUUAGUCACUUUGAGUAUCAUAACAGCCCCUAGCCUACUUUACAAGCCAAAGAGAAGACCUAUACUGAUCGUAGAUGACUUGUUUGAAAAUCUUAGUAAUGAAAAUAAGGGCAAGCCUAUGGUAUUUGGCUUAUACUGAAUUGAUCUUCAUUCUAAGAGUGAG
rnacentral:lncRNA from 1 species